rnacentral:lncRNA from 1 species
GGGGUAAUUCAGGAAGAAGCUGUACCUUAAGGACUGGAAAGCACAGGCACCAGGAAAAGCUUUUUGUGAUUCCUUCUAUCAGGAGGAAGUUUGUACUCAAGAGAACAUUAAUUGAUACUAGUAGCUUGAGAGUUAAAAUUCAGUUACGGACAAGAUGGGAGGCUGUUUUCAAUAAAAAACAUUCAUUCCAAGAUAGAACUCAGAGGAAAUUUUGAAAGGCCUCAAGUGCCAUCAAGGAAAUCUGCCUUCAUUGUCUUCAAAGGAUGCUACAGCGUGAAGCACGUUACUAAAUAAAGAUAUUACUCAGCAUGUAUUUGCA